rnacentral:rRNA from 1 species
AGAGUUUGAUCCUGGCUCAGGACGAACGCUGGCGGCGUGCCUAAUACAUGCAAGUAGAACGCUGAAGCUUGGUGCUUGCACCGAGCGGAUGAGUUGCGAACGGGUGAGUAACGCGUAGGUAACCUGCCUGGUAGCGGGGGAUAACUAUUGGAAACGAUAGCUAAUACCGCAUAAGAGUAGAUGUUGCAUGACAUUUGCUUAAAAGGUGCAAUUGCAUCACUACCAGAUGGACCUGCGUUGUAUUAGCUAGUUGGUGAGGUAACGGCUCACCAAGGCAACGAUACAUAGCCGACCUGAGAGGGUGAUCGGCCACACUGGGACUGAGACACGGCCCAGACUCCUACGGGAGGCAGCAGUAGGGAAUCUUCGGCAAUGGACGGAAGUCUGACCGAGCAACGCCGCGUGAGUGAAGAAGGUUUUCGGAUCGUAAGGCUCUGUUGUAAGAGAAGAACGAGUGUGAGAGUGGAAAGUUCACACUGUGACGGUAUCUUACCAGAAAGGGACGGCUAACUACGUGCCAGCAGCCGCGGUAACACGUAGGUCCCGAGCGUUGUCCGGAUUUAUUGGGCGUAAAGCGAGCGCAGGCGGUUAGAUAAGUCUGAAGUUAAAGGCUGUGGCUUAACCAUAGUACGCUUUGGAAACUGUUUAACUUGAGUGCAAGAGGGGAGAGUGGAAUUCCAUGUGUAGCGGUGAAAUGCGUAGAUAUAUGGAGGAACACCGGUGGCGAAAGCGGCUCUCUGGCUUGUAACUGACGCUGAGGCUCGAAAGCGUGGGGAGCAAACCAGGAUUAGAUACCCUGGUAGUCCACGCCGUAAACG